AUCUCGUUAGAUCACCGAAGUUGAGCAUCAUUGGGCGCGGUCAGUACUUGGAUGGGUGACCACCUGGGAACACUGCGUGCCGUU